CAGAAUCAACGCUGGCGGCGUGCCUAACACAUGCAAGUCGAACGCGAAAGUCCCGCAAGGGGCAAGUAGAGUGGCAAACGGGUGAGUAACGCGUGGGUGACCUGCCUUCGAGUGGGGGAUAACGUCCCGAAAGGGACGCUAAUACCGCAUGACAUCCUGUCUUUAGACAGACGGAGAUCAAAG
rnacentral:rRNA from 1 species